CCUAAUUUGGCAGAAUUAAAUGCGCUUGAUUUAGGAUCAAGUAAUAACUUUUGAGUUACUUAGGU
rnacentral:tRNA from 1 species